CCAAACUUGGUCAUUUAGAGGAAGUAAAAGUCGUAACAAGGUCUCCGUUGGUGAACCAGCGGAGGGAUCAUUACCGAGUUUACAACUCCAAACCCUAUGUGAACCUUACCAUUGUUGCUUCGGUGGGUUAGCCCCGGCGCCCACCGAGGACAUGAAACUCUUAUUUUAUUACAAGAUUUUCUGAGUGGCACAAGCAAAAUAAAUAAAAACUUUCAACAACGGAUCUCUUGGUUCUGGCAUCGAUGAAGAACGCAGC
rnacentral:misc_RNA from 1 species